UGGGGAAUAUUGCACAAUGGGGGAAACCCUGAUGCAGCGACGCCGCGUGGAGGAAGAAGGUCUUCGGAUUGUAAACUCCUGUUGUUGAGGAAGAUAAUGACGGUACUCAACAAGGAAGUGACGGCUAACUACGUGCCAGCAGCCGCGGUAAAACGUAGGUCACAAGCGUUGUCCGGAAUUACUGGGUGUAAAGGGAGCGCAGGCGGGCGAUCAAGUUGGAAGUGAAAUCCAUGGGCUCAACCCAUGAACUGCUUUCAAAACUGGUCGUCUUGAGUAGUGCAGAGGUAGGCGGAAUUCCCGGUGUAGCGGUGGAAUGCGUAGAUAUCGGGAGGAACACCAGUGGCGAAGGCGGCCUACUGGGCACCAACUGACGCUGAGGCUCGAAAGUGUGGGUAGCAAACAGGAUUAGAUACCCUGGUAGUCCACACCGUAAACGAUGAUUACUAGGUGUUGGGAGAUUGACCCUCUCAGUGCCGCAGUUAACACAAUAAGUAAUCCACCUGGGGAGUACGACCGCAAGGUUGAAACUCAAAGGAAUUGACGGGGGCCCGCACAAGCAGUGGAGUAUGUGGUUUAAUUCGACGCAACGCGAAGAACCUUACCAAGUCUUGACAUCCUCUGACGAACGUAGAAAUACGUUUUCUCUUCGGAGCAGAGAGACAGGUGGUGCAUGGUUGUCGUCAGCUCGUGUCGUGAGAUGUUGGGUUAAGUCCCGCAACGAGCGCAACCCUUAUGUUUAGUUGCUACGCAAGAGCACUCUAGACAGACUGCCGUUGACAAAACGGAGGAAGGUGGGGAUGACGUCAAAUCAUCAUGCCCCUUAUGACCUGGGCUACACACGUGCUACAAUGGCUGGUACAAAGAGAAGCGAGACCGUGAGGUGGAGCAAAACUCAAAAACCAGUCCCAGUUCGGACUGCAGGCUGAAACUCGCCUGCACGAAGUUGGAGUUGCUAGUAAUCGUGGAUCAGAAUGCCACGGUGAAUGCGUUCCC
rnacentral:rRNA from 1 species